AGUUAAGUGACGAUAGCCUAGGAGAUACACCUGUACCCAUGCCGAACACAGAAGUUAAGCCCUAGAACGCCUGAAGUAGUUGGGGGUUGCCCCCUGUGAGAUACGGUAGUUGCUUAGCA
rnacentral:rRNA from 1 species